rnacentral:rRNA from 1 species
GAUGAACGCUGGCGGCGUGCCUAAUACAUGCAAGUCGAGCGGACGGACGAGGAGCUUGCUUCUCUGAUGUUAGCGGCGGACGGGUGAGUAACACGUGGAUAACCUACAUAUAAGACUGAGAUAACUUCGGGAAACCGGAGAUAAUACCGGAUAAUAUUUUGAACCGCAUGGUUCAAAAGUGAAAGACGGUCUUGCUGUCACUUAUAGAUGGAUCCGCGCUGCAUUAGCUAGUUGGUAAGGUAACGGCUUACCAAGGCGACGAUGCAUAGCCGACCUGAGAGGGUGAUCGGCCACACUGGAACUGAGACACGGUCCAGACUCCUACGGGAGGCAGCAGUAGGGAAUCUUCCGCAAUGGGCGAAAGCCUGACGGAGCAACGCCGCGUGUGUGAUGAAGGUCUUCGGAUCGUAAAACUCUGUUAGUAGGGAAGAACAGAUGUGUAAGUAACUGUGCACAUCUUGACGGUACCUAAUCAGAAAGCCACGGCUAACUACGUG